rnacentral:rRNA from 1 species
CCUACGGGAGACAGCAGUGAGGAAUAUUGGUCAAUGGACGAGAGUCUGAACCAGCCAAGUAGCGUGAAGGAUGACUGCCCUAUGGGUUGUAAACUUCUUUUAUAUGGGAAUAAAAUGUUCCACGUGUGGGAUUUUGUAUGUACCAUAUGAAUAAGGAUCGGCUAACUCCGUGCCAGCAGCCGCGGUAAUACGGAGGAUCCGAGCGUUAUCCGGAUUUAUUGGGUUUAAAGGGAGCGUAGGUGGAUUGUUAAGUCAGUUGUGAAAGUUUGCGGCUCAACCGUAAAAUUGCAGUUGAAACUGGCAGUCUUGAGUACAGUAGAGGUGGGCGGAAUUCGUGGUGUAGCGGUGAAAUGCUUAGAUAUCACGAAGAACUCCGAUUGCGAAGGCAGUUCACUGGACUGCAACCGACACUGAGGCUCGAAAGUGUGGGUAUCAAACAGGAUUAGAUACCCGAGUAGUC